UCAACUUUACAACUUUUGAAGAUUUGAAUUUGAAUUUCAAAUUUCAAACUUCAUUGAUUCAUUUUAUAUUCCCUCCUUUACCUUCUCUUUCUAAAAAAGUUUCUCUUCAUUUCUCUUCUUUCUCCUUCUUAUCUUCAACUAUAAUAUUGCUUUCUCUAAUUUUCUAUCAUUUCUGUCAUCUCUCAUCUUCUACAACUAUUUUUUUUUUGCUAAAGCAUCGAAAUUGAAAGACAUGAGAUGAAGCCAAUGAUCGACAAAGAUCAUUCACAAAUUAUGACAUCAAGUAUGAGAGCAAAGAAUUGACUCGUCCCGAUCAUGUGAAGAAAGAUGUACAGCCAGAAGGAAAAAAUUAGUAGAUGCACUAUGAACUCCGGGAACGGUGGAGGCAGAUCCCGACGGAGUGUCUCUGCUAACCAUUCUUUAAUGUGGUUUUUAAUGUAGUAUUCAAAAGGAACAAGAUGAUUGAAUUUACCGGAAAGUAUAAGUGGAUAUGGAGGACUCAAAUUAAAUAAUGGGUUUUGUAGAAGAGAAUGAGAUGAUUACCGGAAAGUAUAGGGAGUUUUUUUAGUAUAAUAUUUUUAUAAACUCAUAGGUCAUUUUAUUAGCAAAUAUAAGAAUUAACCAUCAAAACUGAGUUAUCAAAGCAAACAUAAGUAUUAGGCAAAGGAGCGCAGGUAUGCUCCAUUUACCACCAGCUCCAUUUACCCCAUUUAGGGUCUUGGAUGAGUGACAUGUGGCAAAAAUGGAUUCAAUGAUUCAGAUUAAAAAUAAACAAAAACAUCAGUUUUUUUAAUAAAAAAAAAAGAGAGAGCAAACACACGCUUCUCUUCUCUACAAACACGCGCUUCUCUUCUCUCGUAUCACACAGUUCAUCUUCUUCAACCUCCCUCACCGCCAUGCCUCCCUUAUGCCGUCGCCCUCGCCGUCAUGCCUCUAGGAACCGCCGUCUAUUAAACACAUCAUCGCCCUCUUCCUAUCACCGCCCCUCUCCCCCGUCUCACCGCCGUCUCAUCGCCCUCCUCACAUACUAAAACACCUUGCUGCUCUUCUCUUCCACACCAGUCGAUUCACUCUUACCCACAUUUACCCUUGCCAAUUUCUAAAUAUUCAUGACAACAUUAAUUCGGUCACUGAGAAUUCUGAAAUAAUCAUUAAUUCGUUCACUGAGAAUUCUGAUAAAUUAGUUUUCUCCAUAGCAGUAGUUUUGAUAAAUAAUGCAAUGGUUUUGAAAUAUUGCAGUAGUUUUGAAACUUCACAGAGAUGAUGGAUUUUAGCUUUUACACUUUCUUCUUUUCCUACACCUUGAUAGAUGAAUGAUGAACUUGACAAUUUGUUCAUUGUUUUGAAAUGAUCAUAAUAAAAUUCUGCUCUUGAAACAAUACAGUGGUCUUAAUCGUGCACAUCUUGAUUAUUUCUAUGCUCUUCUGGCUGCUCUUAGUGCAGUGGGAUUAACCGCCUUCUAGUUUUUCUCAAAAUCAUAUGUUUAUAAGAGAACAAGCACAUAGAGUAAGCAACUGGAAGCAUAUGGAGAAACUUUUUUACUGGAAAAGAAUUUCAAAUCUUUCAGUAGACCAUUGUAUUUGUAAAUUCAUUGAUAAGACAUUGCACCACUUGUUGAUCGAUUUUGGAAAGAUAUGAUGCAAGACUAAUGAAGGCACAUUUGUAUGUGAAAUAAUGAACUGAAUUAUUUAUACUUUAUGGUUUCUGUUUAAACUUAUAAGUUGUUAUGUAAUGAUAGCUAUAGCUCUUCUUUUACGAGGAUGUUCUAUUUUGUAAUAAUGUAAUAAUAUCUCAUGAUGAUUAAUGCCUUUCAA